CCUACGGGAGGCAGCAGUGGGGGAUAUUGCACAAUGGGGGGAACCCUGAUGCAGCGACGCCGCGUGGGUGAAGAAGCGCCUCGGCGCGUAAAGCCCUGUCAGCAGGGAAGAAAAUGACGGUACCUGAAGAAGAAGCCCCGGCUAACUACGUGCCAGCAGCCGCGGUAAUACGUAGGGGGCACGCGUUAUCCGGAUUUACUGGGUGGAAAGGGGGCGCAGACGGCGAUGCAAGCCAGGAGUGAAAGCCCGGGGCCCAACCCCGGGACUGCUCUUGGAACUGCGUGGCUGGAGUGCAGGAGGGGCAGGCGGAAUUCCUGGUGUAGCGGUGAAAUGCGUAGAGAUCAGGAGGAACACCGGUGGCGAAGGCGGCCUGCUGGACUGCAACUGACGUUGAGGCCCGAAAGCGUGGGGAGCAAACAGGAUUAGAUACCCUAGUAGUC
rnacentral:rRNA from 1 species